AGAUUGAACGCUGGCGGCAUGCUUUACACAUGCAAGUCGAACGGUAACAGGCCGCAAGGUGCUGACGAGUGGCGAACGGGUGAGUAAUGCAUCGGAACGUGCCCAGUCGUGGGGGAUAACGCAGCGAAAGCUGUGCUAAUACCGCAUACGAUCUAUGGAUGAAAGCGGGGGACCAAAGGCCUCGCGCGAUUGGAGCGGCCGAUGUCAGAUUAGCUAAGUUGGUGGGGUAAACGGACCCACCCGAAGGCGACGAUCGUGUAGCUGGUCUAGAGAGGACGACCAGCCCACACUGAAC
rnacentral:rRNA from 1 species